AGCAGUGUGGCUUAGUGGAUAAGAGCACGGGCCUGGGAGUCGGAGGACCUGGGUUCUAAUCCUGGCUCUGCCA
rnacentral:tRNA from 1 species